rnacentral:rRNA from 1 species
CGGACGGGUGAGUAACACGUUGAUAACCUACCUAUAAGACUGGGAUAACUUCGGGAAACCGGAGCUAAUACCGGAUAAUAUUUUGAACCGCAUGGUUCAAAAGUGAAAGACGGUCUUGCUGUCACUUAUAGAUGGAUCCGCGCUGCAUUAGCUAGUUGGUAAGGUAACGGCUUACCAAGGCAACGAUGCAUAGCCGACCUGAGAGGGUGAUCGGCCACACUGGAACUGAGACACUGUCCAG